rnacentral:rRNA from 1 species
UACGAAGGGGGCGAGCGUUGUUCGGAAUUACUGGGCGUAAAGGGCGCGUAGGCGGCCGAUCAAGUCAGAUGUGAAAGUCCUGGGCUUAACCUGGGGACUGCAUUUGAUACUGAUUGGCUUGAAUGCAGGAGAGGAUAGCGGAAUUCCCAGUGUAGAGGUGAAAUUCGUAGAUAUUGGGAAGAACACCGGUGGCGAAGGCGGCUAUCUGGACUGUGAUUGAAGCUGAGGCGCGAAAGCGUGGGGAGCAAACAGG